ensembl:rRNA 5S_rRNA 5S ribosomal RNA
GUCUAUGGCCAUACCACCCUGAACACACCCGAUCUUGUCUGAUAUUGGAAGCUAAGCAGGGUUGUGCCUGGUGAGUACUUGGAUGGGAGACCAGUGUAAGGAUCACGGUUUGAGCCUUCGGCU